rnacentral:rRNA from 1 species
CACGGUUGUCGUCAGCUCGUGCCGUGAGGUGUUGGGUUAAGUCCGCAACGAGCGCAACCCUCAUUGUUAGUUACUACCAUUCAGUUGAGGACUCUAAUGAGACUGCCAACGAUAAGUUGGAGGAAGUGGGGAUGACGUCAAAUCAUCAUGCCCUUUAUGACCUGGGCUACAAACGUACUACAAUGGCCAAUACAAAGAGAUGCGAAGCGGUGACGUGGAGCGAACCUCAGAAAGUUGGUCUCAGUUCAGAUUGAAGUCUGCAACUCGACUUCAUGAAGGCGGAAUCGCUAGUAAUCGCAGGUCAGCAUACUGCGGUGAAUACGUUCCCGGGCCUU